rnacentral:rRNA from 1 species
GGCGACUUAGAAGAAGUGGCAGGUUAAGAUUUUCCAUCGAAGCCAAAGCGAAAGCAUGUCUGAUAAGGGCUCUCGUCCCUUCUUCUAGACCCGAACCCAGGUGAUCUAACCAUGACCAGAAUGAAGCUUUGGUGAUACGAAGUGGAGGUUCGAACCGACCGAUGUUAAAAAAUCGACGGAUGAGUUGUGGUUAGGGGUGAAAUGCCAAUCGAACUUGGAGCUAGCUGGUUCUCCUCGAAAUGCGUUGAGGCGCAGCGGUCGAUUAUGGACUUCCAGGGGGUAAAGCGCUGUCUCGGUGCGGGCUGCGAAAGCGGUACCAAUCUGUUGCAAACUCAGAAUACCUGGAAUGUUUUCAAUCGGCCAGUGAGACUACGGGGGAUAAGCUUCGUAGUCAAAAGGGAAACAGCCCAGACCACCAGCUAAGGCUCCUAAAUAUAAGCUAAGUGGCAAAGGAGGUGAAAGUGCAGUGACAAUCAGGAGGUUUGCCUAGAAGCAGCCACCCUCUAAGGAGUGCGUAAUAGCUCACUGAUCAAGCGCUUUUGCGCCGAAAAUGACCGGAACUAAGCUUUUUGCCGAAGCUGUGGCUACAUCACACUGUUGAUGUAGGGUAGAGGAGCGUUC